GUGAGGAAUAUUGGUCAAUGGGCGAAAGCCUGAACCAGCCAUGUCGCGUGAAGGAUGAAGGUCCUAUGGAUUGUAAACUUCUUUUGCAGGAGGGUAAAGUGAGCUACGUGUAGUUCAUUGCAAGUACCCUGCGAAUAAGCAUCGGCUAACUCCGUGCCAGCAGCCGCGGUAAUACGGAGGAUGCGAGCGUUAUCCGGAUUUAUUGGUUUUAAAGGGUGCGUAGGCGGACUAAUUAGUCAGCGGUGAAAUUUUGCGGCUCAACCGUAAAACUGCCGUUGAAACUGUUAGUCUUGAGUGCGGUAGAGGUAGGCGGAAUGUGUGGUGUAGCGGUGAAAUGCUUAGAUAUCACACAGAACACCGAUUGCGUAGGCAGCUUACUGGAGCGCAACUGACGCUGAGGCACGAAAGCGUGGGGAUCGAACAGGAUUAGAAACCCUAGUAGUCC
rnacentral:rRNA from 1 species